rnacentral:rRNA from 1 species
CCCUUAGAUGUUCUGGGCCGCACACGCGCUACACUGGCAGGUUCAUCGAGCUUCAUGCCCUGAUCUGAGAAGAACGGGAAAUCUUUGAACACCUGCCGUGCUUGGGAUAGAUGUUUGCAAUUAUUCAUCUUCAACGAGGAUUGCCUUGUAAGCGCACGUCAUCAGCGUGCAUUGAAUACAACCCUGUAUUCUGUACACACCGCCCGUCGCUCCUACCGAUUGAAGUUUUCGGUGAAUUUACUGGAGAUCCCUUUUGAAGGUGGUUCGCCACUGGAAGAAGUAUUCAAAAGUAAAUGAAUCGAAUGCUUUAGAGGAAGGAGAAGUCGUAACA